UACAGAGGGUGCAAGCGUUAAUCGGAAUUACUGGGCGUAAAGCGCGCGUAGGUGGUUCGUUAAGUUGGAUGUGAAAUCCCCGGGCUCAACCUGGGAACUGCAUUCAAAACUGACGAGCUAGAGUAUGGUAGAGGGUGGUGGAAUUUCCUGUGUAGCGGUGAAAUGCGUAGAUAUAGGAAGGAACACCAGUGGCGAAGGCGACCACCUGGACUGAUACUGACACUGAGGAGCGAAAGCGUGGGGAGCGAACAGG
rnacentral:rRNA from 1 species